rnacentral:rRNA from 1 species
CUACGGUGGCUGCAGUGGGGAAUAUUGGACAAUGGGCGAAAGCCUGAUCCAGCCAUGCCGCGUGUGUGAAGAAGGCCUUCGGGUUGUAAAGCACUUUCAGUGGGGAAGAAAGCCUUGGGGCUAAUACCCUCGAGGAAGGACAUCACCCACAGAAGAAGCACCGGCUAACUCCGUGCCAGCAGCCGCGGUAAUACGGAGGGUGCGAGCGUUAAUCGGAAUUACUGGGCGUAAAGCGCGCGUAGGCGGUCUGAUAAGCCGGUUGUGAAAGCCCCGGGCUCAACCUGGGAACGGCAUCCGGAACUGUCAGGCUAGAGUGCAGGAGAGGAAGGUAGAAUUCCCGGUGUAGCGGUGAAAUGCGUAGAGAUCGGGAGGAAUACCAGUGGCGAAGGCGGCCUUCUGGACUGACACUGACGCUGAGGUGCGAAAGCGUGGGUAGCAAACAGGAUUAGAUACCCUGGUAGUC